UUAGGAAAAGGAGAAGGAACCACAAGGUCGAGCACUCCCUGAAUUUGCAGCCCCCACGCGAGGGAUCAUCACCCCCCCGUCCUGCAGGUGCCCUGGGAAGGGGAGCUCGGCCCAGAUAUCCUGGGGGUCCUUGGGUUUGGGGUUUUUUGGGGGGAUGUUUGGAGAAUGAAGAACUCCAGAACUGAGCGGAAAAGGCCCCUUGGGGGGACAUUGGGGGUGGUGGUGGCGGCUGCUGGCAGAGGCAGCCUGGAGGAGCAGAGCCCUGUGUCCCCCAGGAGCCCAAAGUGGGGAGCCCAGAGAGGGGGGAGCGCCGCCAUUGGUGGGAGCCUCAACAGCCUGGAGAGGGGCAGGGGGGACUCCUUGGAGCCCCUGCACCCCAAAGCAGAGAAUAAGGGGAGAAGGGACCCAGGGACCCCAAAACCCCCAGCAUCCCUAAGUGAGGAGAUGGAAAAGGGGGGAGCUUUUUGGAUUGUUGGGACUCCCAGCAGCUUGGGGAGGGCGGGGACCAAGUAGAUGAGGGAGCCCCAAUACAAGUGUGACCCCCAGCAGCUGGGACAGGGGGAACACCCCUGAACACCAAGAGCCCCUUCUGGGGGUCCUUGGUGGGUUCCUGGUGCUCGGUCCCAGAGCUUGGAGCCCAGUCUGGGGGGUUCUGCUGUCCAGUCCCAGAGCUUGGAGCUCACUGUGGCUGCUCAGGGAGGGGAAGAUUUGGGGUCCCUAGAGUGCCCUGGAGUGGGGAAGGGGCAGAUUUGGGAUCCUCACAUGAGAGGAUGAGAAAUUUAGGGUCCCCUAAAAUCCCCUGGAAAUGCUGGGGGUGGAGGGGGAAAUUUAGGAUCCUCGGGUGAGGGGGGAUCAAAUUUUGAGGUCCCCAAAGUUCCCUGAGAUGGGAAAUGGGGGCAGAUUUAGGGUUCCCAGGUGAAGGGGAGGGUGGUCAGUCACACACUCUGUGCUGUCCCCAGGAAUGUCCCCAACUCUCCACCACUCCCCAAGGCAGCUGAGGGCAGGAGUUUCCCCUUUCUCCCCCUGCCAUCUUGGGGACAUCCUGGGGUGCCUCCCCUUUGUCCCCCCAUCCUGACCCUGGUCCCGGUGCCACAUGAGUGCUGAUCCCAUUAAGAGCCUUUGCUCGAGGGGGGGAGGUGACACCAUGGCCACCCCUGGCCCACACUGUCCUUGUCACCAGCAUUGGCCUGGCCAAGGCCCUGCAGCUCGUCAGGGACCCCCAGAAGCAACACCUGGGUGAGGGGGGUGUCCCCAAAUGUCCCCAAGGCGGGAGGGGACAUGGGAAAUACCAGGAAAGGGGGCUGGGACAUCCCGGGAUUGUCCCCAACACGGGGUUUUGGGAUCCCUAAUGGGUUUUUGGCAUCCCUAAUGAAUUUUGAAGUUUUUUGGGAUCGUCAGUCCUGGCUACCAAGGGGGACCUGUCCCAGGAGAUUCUCAUGGGGUUUUUGGGGUCUCUGAUGAAUUUUUGGGUUCCCUAAUUAAUUUUCGGGGUCACCGUACUGGCCACCAUGUGGGACCUGUUGCAGCACGCUUGGAUUGGGUCUCUAAUGGGGCUUUUGGGAUCCCUGAUGAAUUUUUGGGGUCACUGACUGAUUUUUGGGGUUGCAGUCCUGGCCACCAUGCAGGACCUGUCAUGUUGGGAGCCACUGGAGGUGGCAGCUGGGGACACCCUGCAGAUCCUGCAGCUCCAUGUCACCAGAGACAGCUCCAAGGCUGAGUGCUGGGGGGUGUGGACAUCGUAGGGUCUUAAAGGGAUGAAGAGAAACCUUUUCCUUUCACAGCCAAAACAAAAGGAUUUUCAUGUCCCUACCAGCAGAGCAUCCAUGUGCUUGGCUGGGUGGGCAGAACCUUUUUUGGAAGGGUUUCUAGCCCACUGUCUCCAAAAUUGUGGGUUUUGCCCCAGACCAUCCCCAUUUGGCUAUGGAAGAUGCCGUGGGCCAGAAAGAAUUAAAAGGAUGGAUUUGUGUUGGAGAAGACCUCAAAGGCCAGCCAGUGUUGCGUGAUGCCACCAGAAGAUGCAAAAAGUGAGAUUUUUCUGGGGUCAGAAGUCGACAAAGCUGCUCUCUACAAUGGUACAAUGGAUUUCUGAGGUUGGUUUGUGGAUGUGUCCAGGUGCCCACAGGGAGCCAGGAGGAUGUGGAGCUCCCAGCCAGGUGUUUUCCCAACAUGGAUCACCAGCACCACAGAUCACUGGGGCUCUGCCCACCGAAGUCACUGGGGACCAUCCAGUGCGGAUCCUCCCAUGGGGGAUGGAGCUGGAGCAGCGCAUGGAGCUCUUCCCACACUGGGGGCACCUGGCAGGGCUGCCCUUACCGGUGCCUCCGUUGGUGCUGGGUCAAGUUAGAACUCUGGGUGAAGCUUUUCCCACACUGGGGGCACUCGUAGGGCUUCUCCCCAGUGUGGAUGCGCCGGUGCCUGACGAGGUUGGAGUUGUGCUUGAAGCCCUUCCCGCAGUCGGGGCAGCGGAAGGGCCGCUCAUCCGUGUGAAUCCGCUGGUGCUUGAGGAGCGUGGAGCUGGUCUGAAACCUCUUGCUGCAUUUAUCACACUCGUAGGGCCUCUCCCCGGUGUGGAUGUGCUGGUGCUUGACGAGGUCAGAGUUGACAAUGAAGCCCUUCCCACAGUCUUGGCAGCGGAAGGGCCUCUCCCCUGUGUGAAUCUUUUGAUGCUUGAGGAGGUCAGAGUUGGUCUGAAACCUCUUCCCACACUGCUCACACUCGUAGGGCCGUUCCCCUGUGUGCAUCCUCCGGUGUUUGAUGAGGUUGGAGCUUGACCUGAAGCUCUUCCCACACUCCCCACACUCAUAGGGCCGUUCCCCUGUGUGGCUCCUCUGGUGGACGAUCAGGUUGGAGCUUGACCUGAAGCUCUUCCCACACUGGGGACACUCGUAGGGUGUCUCCCCGGUGUGGAUGCGCUGGUGGCUGACACGGGCAGAGUGGUUCUUAAAGCCCUUCCCACAGUCGGGACAGCAGAAGGGCCUCUCGUCUGUGUGAAUCCGCUGGUGCCUGAGGAGCGUGGAGCUGCUCUGAAACCUCUUCCUGCAUUUACCACACUCGUAGGGCCGUUCCCCCGUGUGGAUUCUUUGGUGGCGGAUCAAGUAGGAUCUCUGGCUGAAGCUCUUUCCACAUUGUGAGCACCUCUGGGGUUUCUCCCCAUCGUGAAGCAGCUCAUGGACCCCUAGCUCUGAGCUCUGGCCGCAUCUGUGGCCCAGGGUGGGUCUUUCCUCCUCUGAUCCCUGCAGUCUGUGGUUGCAGACCCUCCUCAUGUGGAAUGUCUCUGGCUUUUCCUCCCCAUUGGAUUCCUGCACCAUGGAGCCACUCAAAACAGCCUCUUCCACGAGGUUCAGCUGCGGGGAUUUGUUCUCACUGGUCUCCAUCCUCAGCUCCUUGUCUGGGGGAGGAAGGACAAGGAGAGGAUGGCAUUUGCCUCCGUGCCAGAGGGCAGCCAGGGGCGAUGCUGGGCUGGGAGAUGGAGCAGGAGAGAGGGGGAAAGGGGCACUGACUUCCUCCUCACCUGCCUGGGUGUCCUGGGGCAUCUUCCUCUUCCUCACAGCCUCCUCCUCCACCCGGCCACGGUUUGGGGAUGGGAAAUCCUGGUUUGGGGGAAACAAGGGGUGAGCGCGUUGGGUUCGAUGGUGCCGCUGCCCAAGUGCAGCUGGAGAAGUCACUGCCCCCUUCAGCCUCGGGGGGCCCGGACCCCGCUCAUCCCCAGCCUCCCCCUCCCCUCCGGCUCCGGGCGCUCUCCCCACUCCGGGGCUCCCGCGUUCCCCCCGGCUCUCCCGGGGAUCCCCAAACCCAACAUCGCUCCUCUGCCUGCCGGUACCGGCCAUCGCCUCAUGGGACCCCCCAAGAUCCCUGCGGGGCCAUUUCCGGCUCAGCUUUGGGGUCCUGCGAGACCCAAACAUGCCCUGCCCUGCCAAACAACCCUGCCGGAGCCCCCCGAUGGAUUUGGGGCGAGCUCCCCUCCCCGCUCACCGGCGGUUCCGGGGGGCGAUGCCGGCGCAGCCGGAGCAGCCGCGGCCUGAGGGGGGGAACCGCGUGGGGUUGGUGCUGCUGCUCCUCCCGCUGCUCCUCCUCUUCCUGCUCCUGCUCCUCCUUUCCUCUCGAUCCUCUCCCUCCCUUUCCUUUCCCUCCCCUCUCCCUCCUCUCCCUCCCGCUCCUGCUCCGCUCCCAGCCCGGCCCGGGCGGUGCCGACACCCAAAAGCAGCCGCGCUCUGCCCGGGGGGUUCCAAAGCGGCCCCGGCUGCCCGGCACUGGGAGCGAUACUGGGAGCACUGGGAACGAUGGAGAGAGCGCCGGGCAGGAAUUGGGAGCGCCGUCCCUGCCAGCCCCGCUCUUACUGGGAGCGCUGGGAGCGAUGGAGAGAGCACCGGGCAGGAAUUGGGAGCGCCGUCCCUGCCAGCCCCGCUCUUACUGGGAGCGCUGGGAGCGAACUGGGAGCAAACAGCGCCCGGACGCGGCUGCAGCCGGCGGGGGGCGGGACCAGGCCAAAGGGCGUAGUUAUGCAAAUACGGGAGCUAUCGCGCGCUGGGAUUGGUGGGCGGGAGCAGCGCGGGGUUUGCAGGGUCACGUGAGGGCCGGGGGGAGCCGGAGCGGUGGCGGCGGCGUCCGAUUUUAAGGGUUUUGAAAGGGCAAAGAGAAAUGAAAAGAAAAUCCAGGCCAUGGGGAGUCAGGAGGAUGUGGAGCCCCCAGCCAGGUGUCUUCCCAACAUGGAUCAUUGGCACCAAGGAUCACCAGGGCUCUGCCCACUGGGGUCACUGGGGAUCACCCAGCGUGGAUCCUUCCUUGGGGGAUGGAGUUGGAGCAGCACACGGAGCUCUUCCCGCACUGGGGGCACUCGCAGGGAUUCCCUUGGUGGUACCUCUGUUGGUGUUCUCAAGGUUCUUUAUUAUUUCUUUAUGUCAAACAUUUUCUGUCUGGCCUGCCAAAUUCUGUUCUGUAGGUCGGUCUGACGCACACACCCCACCUCUUGGGCUGGUGCUGUCUUUUAUACUAAAAACUACAUAUACUAUGUUUACAAUUAUGUUCCAAUACCUAUCACCUAUGUUAGGCAGUGACUUUCUACUCUAAACCAAUCGGUGAAUGCCACCAUCAUCCGGAACAUGGAUGCCAGGGAGAAGAAAGAAGGACAGGGCACGCCCAAAUCCCUCCAUCUUGGAACGCCUGACCCCCAUGUACAGAAUCCCAAACCCCCCUGUACAAGGUUCAAAACCCCCCUGUACAGUGCUCCAGAAUUUUUCCCUUCACCCUGUGAUUGCUACUGCUAUGCUGCUUAAACUUUUGUGACCUGUAAUUCUUCAUAUAAAGUGGGCAAUUUGCUCCAUGGGUUGAGAUAGAGUUCCCAGGUGUCUUUGGCUUCCUGCCAGGGUCUCCAAGCCCCUGCCAGGGCUUUGAGACAUCCAGGGCAUCCAGAGAAAUGUCCUGGGUUCUGACACAGGGGGACACGCCUUGCCCCCUGACAGCUGCCCGGGGCCCUCUGAUCCCUGUCCCACAUCCCUGUGCCUCCUGUCCCUGCUACUCCCCGCCACCUUCACUCCCUCCAUCACAGCUCCUCUCAACCUCUUCAUGGUGGCCUCUGGAAGGAAAGAAAGAAUGAAGGAAAGAAGUGUUGUCUCUUCACCCUGCCUAGAUGCCUGGCACCCACCAAGGCUGCUCUCUCACUCCAUUCCAGAGAUGGACAGGAGAGAGAAAAGAGAAUGAAGGCUUCAUGGCUUGAGUAAAGGACUGGGACAGAUCACUCAGCAAAUGUCAUCAUGGGCAAAAAGAUUUUUGAAAUUACAGAUAUUAAUUGAAUUUAUUGCUAUCAAAAUCAAAGUAGGAUAGUGAGAAGUAAAAUAAAGCUUUAAGAACACCUGCCCAUCUCUCCCUCCUUCCCAGCUCUGCCUCCUCCCCCAGUGGGUGCAGGGAGAUAGGCAAUGGGGGUUCUGCUCAGUUCAUCACCCCUUGUUUCUCCUGCUGCUCGGGGAGAGGAGUCAUUCCCUGCUGUGCCAGGGGUCCCUCCCCCAGACACUUCUCCAUGAACUUCUCCCAGGUGAGUUCAUCUCACGGACAGCAGCUCUUCACAAACUGCUGCAGCGUGGCUCACUCUCCCACGGGCUCACAAGUCCUGCCAGGCUCCUGCUCCAGCCUGGGCUCCUCUCUCCAGGGGUUUUCAGGUCCCUGCCAGGUCCCUGUUCCAGCACAGGUUUCUUGUGGGGUCACAGCCCCACUCAGGCACCCCCUGCUCUGGCAUGGGCUCCUCCAGGCGCUGCAGGUGCAUCUCUGCUCUCCCUGCCCUCCAUGGGCUGCAGGACCCGGCUGCCUCCCCCGGGACUGCUCCAGGGAAUCUCAGGCAAUCAGCUCCACACCUGGAGCAGCUCCUACCCCUCCUCCUGCCCUGUCCUGCCCUGCCCUGGGGUGUGCAGAGUUGUUCCUUUCACAUGUUCUCACCCUGCUCUUCCCUGCUCACAGUUACAGCUACACAAUUGCCCAUUUUCUUUUUCUUAAAACUUUUUUCCCAAAGGUGUUACCACCAUUUCUAACUGGCCCAGCCUUGGUCGGUGGCUGGUCCAUCCUGGAGCCGGUUGGAAUUGACUCUGUGGGACAUGGAGGAGCAGCUGCCUCCAGCAUCCUCUCUCAGAAGGUGCUCCUAGAGACCCUCUAUUACCAAAGCCUGGCCAUGCAAACCUAGUAAUUUCCUAUCCCCAAAACUUCAUCAUAUGGAGGUGAAGGCUGCGAGGAAGAUGCCCUGGGACACCCAGGCAGGUGAGGAAGAUGUCACCGCCCCUUUCCACCUCUCUCCUGCUCCAUCUUCCAGCCCAGCACAGCCCGUGGCUGCAGGACAACCCCUCUGCCAACGCCGUCCUGCUGGGGAUGCACUGGGAGGAUCUCCUUCUCCUUCCCUCUGGCACAGAGGCAAAUCCCAUCCUCUCCUUGUCCUUCCUCCCCCAGAGAAGGAGCUGAGGAUGGAGACCAGAGAGGACAAAUCAUCACAGCACAACCUCAUGGAAGAAGCCGUUUUGAGUGACUCCAGGGCACAGGACUCCAGCUGGGAGGUAAAGCCCGCGAGAUCCCACAGGAAGAGGAGCUCCAAAC